UACAGAGGCCCCGAGCGUUAGACGGAAUCACUGGGCUUAAAGCGUGUGUAGGUGGAUGCCUAAGUACCUUGUGAAAUCCCACGGCUUAACCGUGGAAUUGCUGGGUAUACUGGGUGUCUUGAGCCACUCAGGGGCUACCGGAACAAAUGGUGGAGCGGUGAAAUGCGUAGAUAUCAUUUGGAACGCCAAUAGUGAAAACAGGUAGCUGGGGGUGUGCUGACACUGAGACACGAAAGCCAGGGGAGCAAACGGG
rnacentral:rRNA from 1 species